AUCAGCUGCUGGUUUGUCGAUGUCUUCUAUUUCCUUCAGUAAACCCGACAUGACUUCACCUGUAAAGCGGAAUAAAAGCAGCAUUUAUUAUUCUAUUAUUCUGAGAGGAAGCUUCACCUGGUGCUGCUUGUGGACGGCGUUCACUUUGGGUUUUCCAUUAAAAAGCUUAUUUUGUGAAAAUGACAGUUGUAAGGAGAAGCACAAUGAUGCAACAAUGGAUUUUGGACACUUAUAACAGUGAACCUUUAACACUCCACUGGGGGCUUUGUGUAUGAUCCCGUUCCCUGGAUUAAAAGGUAUUUCCUCAUCAAGAGGAUAACUGUAUUGAAAUGUGUGGAUAGAGGGAACGUCAGACAUAGAGGGUAUUAAAGCUCAAUUAUG
ensembl:lncRNA